rnacentral:rRNA from 1 species
UACGGAGGGUGCAAGCGUUAAUCGGAAUUACUGGGCGUAAAGGGUGUGUAGACGGUUUGGUAAGUUAAGUGUGAAAGUCCCGGGCUUAACCUGGGGAAGUCACUUAAGACUGCAGGACUAGAGUAUGGGAGAGGGUAGUGGAAUUUCCGGUGUAGCGGUGAAAUGCGUAGAGAUCGGAAGGAACACCAGUGGCGAAGGCGGCUACCUGGCCUAAUACUGACGUUGAGGCACGAAAGCGUGGGGAGCGAACAGG